rnacentral:rRNA from 1 species
UACGAGGGAUCCUAGCGUUGCUCGGAAUCAUUGGGCGUAAAGCGGGCGUAGGCGGCUUUGUAAGUCGGGCGUGAAAGCCCAGGGCUCAACCCUGGAAGUGCAUUCGAUACUGCUAAGCUUGAGUGCGAGAGAGGUUAAUAGAAUACCUGGUGUAGUGGUGAAAUACGUAGAUAUCAGGUAGAACACCGGAGGCGAAGGCGGUUAACUGGCUCGAGACUGACGCUGAGACCCGAAAGUGCGGGGAGCAAACAGG